UACUAUUGGGUUGGCCAGAAAAUUUGUUCAGGUUUUUCUGUACAAUGCUAUGAAAAACCUGAAUGAACUUUUUGGCCAAUCCAAUAUAU
ensembl:miRNA